rnacentral:rRNA from 1 species
UACAGAGGUCUCAAGCGUUGUUCGGAUUCAUUGGGCGUAAAGGGUGCGUAGGUGGCGCCGUAAGUCGGGUGUGAAAUUUCGGAGCUUAACUCCGAAACUGCAUUCGAUACUGCGGUGCUUGAGGACUGGAGAGGAGACUGGAAUUCAUGGUGUAGCAGUGAAAUGCGUAGAGAUCAUGAGGAAGACCAGUGGCGAAGGCGGGUCUCUGGACAGUUCCUGACACUGAGCACGAAGGCCAGGGGGAGCAAACGGG